CGAAGGGGUUUGGCACCUCCGUCUGUUUGUUUUUAUUUUUAUUCAUCUCCAUGUAUAGUCCCACGAGUAGCGCGAGAAAUAUAUGUCCGCCACGCCAGAGCUCCGCAUUAGCGUGGUAAGGGACGCUUACUGUGGGGGUUGCCCAGGUACCCCACAGGCUCCGUUAACGAUCGAGCAUCUUUUUCACCCCCUCGAUCACUCAUCCCUCGGCACGGGUCGCUUCACGCCUUGGAAUUGGGGUUAUGCCCUACCUUGCUUUACGUGGUGAUCUCGGCCCGGAUCAUCACAACCAUCCUCCAUUAAGCUAAGUAUGCACCUCUUGCGAAAUGAAAUUUCCUAUACAAAACCUAUACAUAAAAAACGUCGCGAAAUGCUCGCGAAAAAAUUUUUCGUUUCCAUUUCGUAAGCGGUACGCAGCUCUCGCGAAAACGAUAACGAAAUUUUCAGUUAGUCGAGACACGGUUCGACAAACGAUAAGUUUCAUAUUACUUCCACGAGAUAGCGCUGCUUUCUAUGCGCUGUCACCACGGCAAGCUUUUUCCUUGCGAAAUAAUGGACAGUGAUAUUAUUCCGCUCGGAGGCUCGCGAAAUUUUGACAGAUUGCGAUAAAAGAAUACAAAAAAAACAAGUCUUGUACAUUUUUUGUAUUUUUUCAUCGCAAGCUGUCAAAACUUGUUUUUAUAGAAUUUGCUUUUGUGGUGUAAUAUUCGGAACUCCCAAACAAACCCGUAUUCAGUCGAUACAGCGUGUGAUUAUACAGCUGAAGAAGUCAGUACCGUGUUCAGUGCAUUGUAAUUUGUAAUAUCGAGCAGCAACCAUAGCGGACACACAUCAUCGAACACCAGCAACAGAAUACCAAGGUCACCAUGGUCAGAGAACGCAGUAAUAAUGGGGCAACAGUAAACAACAUCAAGAUGCUGGUAAAGGACUUUCUCUUUCGAACAAACAUUAUGGAAACCUGAGUGCUUACAUACACUCUGAUGGAAACGUCGUAUCCUCUACACGAACGUGUCCAAUCGCUGUGACUCGUUUGGAAAACAAACAAAAGAAGGCAUUGUUUUUUCCGCAAGGUCGCUCUGAGAAAAAUUUCAGCAAAUUGCAAGGAAUGAACCCCCGGAGGGGUACUGGUGUCGAUUCAGGACGUUUUCCCAUACAUUGUAGCUAUUGAAUUUUGAUACCCGGUCGAAACGAUGGCAAGCGCUGCCGAUAACUGGGUCAAAAAAGCGGAUGGUCAGUAAAUUUCUGUACACGGCGGCUGACAGUCCAGAGAAUGUAUAAAUGUCUAGUUUAUCGGCAAUCGAGCCAGCGAGAAUCGGCUGCACCUGCAGUUUUGAGUUCGAUAGCUGCGAAAAUUCUGACUUUAGCAAGCGAAAAUGGAGAAACAGCUAACCUGGCGGAUGCAAUUUCACUACUGAAAAUUAUUCGCAAAGGUCUGGUAGAAUCAAAGCUGGAUCUGGAGGUGAAGCGAAAGAAUGCUUCUUCCCCGCUAUACUCGGUUAACACUUUCGAAGCUUUGCACAAAAGCAGGAACUGCUUCAGGGAGUCUAUGCUAUGGGUUCCAACGCCCCUUCCUAGAUUCACGAUACGGCUUUACCUACUCUAUUGGCCGAUCUGCCACAGAACAUGAUCGCCAAGUCAAUCGGGAACAGGAAAAAUAGCUGCUUUAGUGCUGGCAAUGCUCAGUCGAUUCGAUCUGUUAAAAAACUAUCCGCAGGUAAUUUGCCUUUCCGCCACGCAUGAACUGGCAACUCAGAAGGAGAAAGUAGCU